rnacentral:lncRNA from 1 species
ACGGUGAACAGUGACUUCGGUUUUCAAUUUCUUUCUUUAAUUUUCUUGAAGCAUUUGGGACCAGAUCUUGUCCUAAAGCUUAAUCUUCAAGUUCUAAUCACCGUCACACUUCCAUUUCAUAUUUUUGCCAAAUUUUUCUGAAUUUCAAAUUCAAAAUUCAAAUUUCGGUCAAAUUUGACCCGAAUUUGAUUUUCAACCAAUUUCUUCUCCUUUCCUUCACGAAUUGCUUCUAUUUCUUUGGAGUUACUUUGAUGACUAAAAAUGGCAGGUAUUACAGCCUCUCCCCCUUAACAGAAUCUCGUCCCAAGAUUCCCG